AUUGAACGCUGGCGGCAUGCUUUACACAUGCAAGUCGAACGGCAGCGCGGGCUUCGGCCUGGCGGCGAGUGGCGAACGGGUGAGUAAUGCAUCGGAACGUGCCCAGUAGUGGGGGAUAGCCCGGCGAAAGCCGGAUUAAUACCGCAUACGACCUGAGGGUGAAAGCGGGGGGCCGAAAGGCCUCGCGCUAUUGGAGUGGCCGAUGUCGGAUUAGCUAGUUGGUGGGGUAAAGGCUUACCAAGGCGACGAUCCGUAGCUGGUCUGAGAGGACGACCAGCCACACUGGGACUGAGACACGGCCCAGACUCCUACGGGAGGCAGCAGUGGGGAAUUUUGGACAAUGGGGGCAACCCUGAUCCAGCCAUGCCGCGUGCGGGAAGAAGGCCUUCGGGUUGUAAACCGCUUUUGUUCGGGAAGAAAUCCUCUGGGCUAAUACCCCGGGGGGAUGACGGUACCGGAAGAAUAAGCACCGGCUAACUACGUG
rnacentral:rRNA from 1 species